rnacentral:Y_RNA from 1 species
GGCUGGUCGAAGGUAGUGAGUUAUCUCACCGUGAUUGUUCACAGUCAGUUACAGAUUGAACUCCUUGUUCUACUACUUUCCCCCCUCCUCACUACUGCACUUGACUAGUCUUUA